UGUUGUCCCUAGGUUCAUCCCAGGAUGCCCAGGCUUUUUUCAAGGAGCGCUGCAAGGUGUUACAGGCAGAGCUGGUCCAGUGCAUCCAGAGUCCCAGAAAUUUCUUCAGGACAGCUUCAAACAGGCCUACUGUUGAAUCCUUGUUUCUACUGCUUCUGAGAAAGGUUUUUCAGGGCAGACAUUGAUUUUCCAUGUGCUUUCUGGAAACUAUCAGGCACAAUUCAGCUACUUAAGACAGAGUAACAAUAAGAAAAUGUACUGUAAACAAAACAGAGAGCAUGCCAAAAUGGGAUGCCUGACACAUUUCUGCAUGGGAAUCUUCUGCACACUCCAACCAAGAUGCUUUUGCUCCUUGCAA